rnacentral:rRNA from 1 species
GACGAACGCUGGCGGCGUGCCUAAUACAUGCCAGUUGAGCGCUGAAGGUUGGUACUUGUACCAACUGGAUGAGCAGCGAACGGGUGAGUAACGCGUGGGGAAUCUGCCUUUGAGCGGGGGACAACAUUUGGAAACGAAUGCUAAUACCGCAUAAAAACUUUAAACACAAGUUUUAAGUUUGAAAGAUGCAAUUACAUCACUCAAAGAUGAUCCCGCGUUGUAUUAGCUAGUUGGUGAGGUAAAGGCUCACCAAGGCGAUGAUACAUAGCCGACCUGAGAGGGUGAUCGGCCACAUUGGGACUGAGACACGGCCCAAACUCCUACGGGAGGCAGCAGUAGGGAAUCUUCGGCAAUGGACGAAAGUCUGACCGAGCAACGCCGCGUGAGUGAAGAAGGUUUUCGGAUCGUAAAACUCUGUUGGUAGAGAAGAACGUUGGUGAGAGUGGAAAGCUCAUCAAGUGACGGUAACUACCCAGAAAGGGACGGCUAACUACGU